GGUGGCCCUGGGGACAUCUCAGGUGGCCUUGGGGACACCUGGGGUGGCCUUGGAGACAUCUGAGGGGACAUUGGGGACACCUGGGGGACCUUGGGGACACCUGGGGGGACCUUGGGGACAUCUCAGGUGGCCUUGGGGACACCUGGGGGACCUUGGGGACAUCUGAGGGGACAUUGGGGACACCUGGGGGACCUUGGGGACACCUGGGGUGGCCUUGGGGACAUCUGGGGUGGCCUUGGGGACACCUGGGGUGGCCUUGGGGACAUCUCAGGUGGCCUUGGGGACACCUGGGGUGGCCUUGGGGACAUCUGGGACAUCUGAGGGGACCUUGGGGACGUCUGGGGGUCCUUGGGGACAUUUUGGGGCUCCUGGGAUGAAUUUCGGGUCCUCUGGGACAUUUCGGGUCCCUCAGGGACAUUUUUGGGGACAUUUUGGGCUUUUUUGGGGACAUUUUUGGCAUUUUUGGGACAUUUUGGGCUUUUUUGGGGACAUUUUUGGCAUUUUUGGGACAUUUUGGGCUUUUUGGGGACAUUUUUGCUUUUUUGGGGACAUUUUUGGCAUUUUUGGGACAUUUUGGGCUUUUUGGGGACAUUUUUGCCUUUUUGGGGACAUUUUUGGCAUUUUUGGGACAUUUUGGGCUUUUUUGGGGACAUUUUGGGGCUCCCGGGCGGCGCCGUCCAAGGCGGGAUCACCAAAAGGGGGCGUGGCCAGCGGGAUUUAUGCAAAUGAGCUUUUCGGGGAGGGCGUGUCUAUGCAAACGAACUCAAUAAAGCGUGAUAAAGCCUUUAAUUAUGCAAA
rnacentral:lncRNA from 1 species